rnacentral:tRNA from 1 species
GCGCGGGUGAUGGAACUGGUAGACAUACUAGACUUAAAAUCUGGGGGCCAAUGGCCGUGCGGGUUCAAGUCCCGCCCCGCGCACCA